rnacentral:lncRNA from 1 species
UUUCUGCUUUAUUUGUUCACAGCUUGAGCCUAUUACCUAAUAGAGACACAAGAAAAUGGCCCAUCUGUUUGCAGUGGGCAAAUGUGUGAGUACUGCUCUCUGGGGCUGCAUGGGAGAAGGAUUGCUUUUCAAGAAUGUAUUUACUUUACUCUCUGUUUUCUCAACGUGGACUCGUGUGCCCGCAUCCUGUGCCAGGGAUGCAGUGCUCUUUGCUGUGACAGGCACACUGCUGCUACCUUCACCAUUUGUGCAUGCAUCGCACCUUUGGGAUCGGGGAGAUCAAAGAGCAGCUACUUCUGAGCAGCCUCCCAUACAGAUGGCCACACGGCAAAUGAGCCAUGGGCACCGGGACUCGGGGCCAACUCCCCAGAAUAGCCUGCACCUCCGCAGUCUGUGAGGUGGGCUCACGCUUCUGGAAAUAUGCCUAGCAUGUUGCGGACUCCAUAAUGCUAAUCUUAAAUCUAAGUCUAAGCAUGCAGAGAUUUCGGGGACAGGAGCUGUACAGCUUACUCCAAAGUAGGUAACUUGGGGCCUGCUUGUCACUACAGAGCCACCUGCUUAGGUACAGCCCCUGCACCCUGUGAAUUUACACCGGGAGCUCAUUAACAACUUAGUGCUGGGCUGCAAAGCAGCUUUUUUUUCAGGAUUGUCCUCUAUUAUGUUCCCAGCAAUCUGAUGGCCAUCAACACCUUGCUGAUAAACUGGAAAUUUUCACCUUCUUCCAUUCUCACCUCUCAAACGACCCAUGAAAGAGUCUUAGAGAUCAAAGAAAUCCUCUUCCAUCCUUAUCCUUCUGACAGAGGGACUGAUGGGAUUUAGCACCCAUGUGGGAAUGGCAUUGGUAACUGGGGAGUGGUAGGGGUGGAAGAUGAGGCAGGGGGUGUGGGGGUGGAAGAGCCCAGAAGAUGAAUUACCUGGGGAGGAGGUGCAUACUGAAUUGUGGUCACCAUGGCAAGUGUGAGAAGACAGAAGAGAGAUAACUUCCUCUGCCCCAAAUAAAGAUCAAGGCACAUUUGCA